rnacentral:ncRNA from 10 species
GGGCCUGUAGCUCAGCUGGUUAGAGCGCACGCCUGAUAAGCGUGAGGUCGAUGGUUCGAGUCCAUUCAGGCCCA